CCUAUAUAAAAACAUUUUUAAGUAUAUUUUUUGAAAUUAUAGGUAUUAGUUAUUUUGCACUUUUGUCGUUUAUUAUUUUUCUUCUUCUAAACAUUUGACUGUAAAUAAUUUAGUUAAUCAAUUCUUUAUCAACUAGGGGUUUUAAUUCAAAAGUCUGUCCAGGUUUCUAGUAGACCUCUAGGCCUUACAUUACUUAUUUUACAUAAUUACUAUUCUUGUAAAUACUACUGGGCGAAAUCAUUUAAAUAAAAAAUAUAUUCGCAGGUUAUUACAUAAGGCGUUUCUGAUAAGGCGUGUCUGUGUUAAUUUGUUAAUUGUAUUUUACAUUUGAUUGACAACACUAUAAAUAGUGAUGGGCACAGACGUAUUUUUAUUGACUAAACCGGCAGGCUCUAAUUCAACUCAAAGAGCCUGUUCGCAGGCUAUAUCGAUCGAUAAAAACAUGUUUUAAGACAUUUUGGUCGAAUGCAAAGGGGGGACUAUAGUGUCCUUUUCCGGCUGUUAAUUUCAGCAAAAAUAAAACAAGAGUUAUUCCGAAUAUGGAGUGCAUAAUAUUGACACACAAUUUAUUAA